UUAAUUGAAGAGUUUGAUCAUGGCUCAGAUUGAACGCUGGCGGCAGGCCUAACACAUGCAAGUCGAGCGGCAGCACAGAGAAACUUGUUUCUCGGGUGGCGAGCGGCGGACGGGUGAGUAAUGCCUGGGAAAUUGCCCUGAUGGGGGAUAACCAUUGGAAACGAUGGCUAAUACCGCAUGAUGCCUACGGGCCAAAGAGGGGGACCUUCGGGCCUCUCGCGUCAGGAUAUGCCCAGGUGGGAUUAGCUAGUUGGUGAGGUAAGGGCUCACCAAGGCGACGAUCCCUAGCUGGU
rnacentral:rRNA from 1 species